CACGUAGGGUGCGAGCGUUGUCCGGAAUUAUUGGGCGUAAAGAGCUCGUAGGCGGUGUGUCGCGUCGGCCGUGAAAACCUGCAGCUUAACUGUGGGCUUGCGGUCGAUACGGGCAUCACUGGAGUUCGGCAGGGGAGACUGGAAUUCCUGGUGUAGCGGUGAAAUGCGCAGAUAUCAGGAGGAACACCCGGUGGCGAAGGCGGGUCUCUGGGCCGAUACUGACGCUGAGGAGCGAAAGUGUGGGGAGCGAACAGG
rnacentral:rRNA from 1 species